ACGCACGCUGGCGGCGUGCUUAACACAUGCAAGUCGAACGGAAAGGCCCUGCUUUUGUGGGGUGCUCGAGUGGCGAACGGGUGAGUAACACGUGAGUAACCUGCCCUUGACUUUGGGAUAACUUCAGGAAACUGGGGCUAAUACCGGAUAGGAGCUCCUGCUGCAUGGUGGGGGUUGGAAAGUUUCGGCGGUUGGGGAUGGACUCGCGGCUUAUCAGCUUGUUGGUGGGGUAGUGGCUUACCAAGGCUUUGACGGGUAGCCGGCCUGAGAGGGUGACCGGCCACAGUGGGACUGAGAUACGGCCCAGACUCCUACGGGAGGCAGCAGUGGGGAAUAUUGCACAAUGGGCGGAAGCCUGAUGCAGCAACGCCGCGUGCGGGAUGACGGCCUUCGGGUUGUAAACCGCUUUCGCCUGUGACGAAGCGUGAGUGACGGUAAUGGGUAAAGAAGCACCGGCUAACUACGUG
rnacentral:rRNA from 1 species